rnacentral:rRNA from 1 species
UACGAAGGGUGCAACCGUUGCUCGGAAUUAUUGGGCGUAAGGCGCACGUAGGCGGCUCCAAAAGUCGGAUGUGAAAUCCCUCGGCUCAACCAAGGAAGUGCACCCGAAACUGCGGAGCUUGAGUAUGGAAGAGGGUCGCGGAAUUCCCGGUGUAGAGGUGAAAUUCGUAGAUAUCGGGAGGAACACCAGUGGCGAAGGCGGCGACCUGGGCCAAUACUGACGCUGAGGUGCGAAAGCGUGGGGAGCAAACAGG